GUUAUUUGGUGUUGUCCAGGAGCUGUUUCGCUUCUGUUUUGGUGUUGUUUGAGUGCUGUUUUGGUGCUCUUUUGGAACCGAUCUUGUAAUCGUUGUUGUUCGGACGUGCUAUAGCUCUUUGGAUGUUCAAAAUAGUACAAGGAAGUGUAGGCCGUAUCAAUUUUUGGAUGAAGAACUACCUAUUGACUAUUACAAAGAUCUAUUUUAUGAUGUGCACCAUGAUUUGGAAGCUUACAAAGUUGAAUCCGAAUCUGAUCAGACUUAUGAAGAAGGAUUGAAGGCGAAAGAGAAUUUGAAAUUGGCAACUGGAAAAAUCCAAGUGUAUGAGAGGGUGUUUGUAGGCUUGUUUUUAGUUGUCAUAAUGAAUGUUGUAACACCUUUAUCAAUGAAAUUAGCAUAUUCAUGUUUUCA